rnacentral:tRNA from 1 species
GCGGCAGUAGCUCAGUUGGUAGAGCAUUAGCUUCCCAAGCUAAGGGUCGAGGGUUCGAGCCCCUUUUGCCGCUCAA